CCAAUAGCGUAUAUUAAAGUUGUUGCAGUUAAAAAGCUCGUAGUUGAAUUUCGGGGUUAGUAGAUUGGUCAUGCCACUGGUAUGUACUGGUCUUACUGAUUCCUCCUUCCUGAUGAACCGUAAUGCCAUUAAUUUGGUGUUGCGGGGAGACUGGACUGUUACUUUGAAAAAAUUAGAGUGUUUAAAGCAGGCUAACGCUUGAAUACAUUAGCAUGGAAUAAUGAAAUAGGACGUUCGAUCCUAUUUUGUUGGUUUCUAGGAUUAACGUAAUGAUUAAUAGGGAUAGUUGGGGGCAUUAGUAUUCAAUUGUCAGAGGUGAAAUUCUUGGAUUUAUUGAAGACUAACUACUGCGAAAGCAUUUGCCAAGGAUGUUUUCAUUAAUCAAGAACGAAAGUUAGGGGAUCGAAGACGAUCAGAUACCGUCGUAGUCUUAACCAUAAACUAUGCCGACUAGGGAUCGGAUGAUGUUAAUUUUUUUAAUGACUCAUUCGGCGCCUUACG
rnacentral:rRNA from 1 species